ACUGUAAGUACUUUUGUUUUUUUUUAAUUAGGAAUGCUGCUGUAUACAGGUGGGAUGUGGCGUUCGACGUUUUAUGACCAGUUAUGUGCCAAAAGAAGGAUGAAGACGCAGGUCCUAACAGUCAGCCUCCAGCCAUGGCCAUACAGGCACCAGAAAGCCAGACGUUUAAAUGGUGGAGUCUGACUUGGCUGGACAAGCUUUAUUUACUUGAGUAAUGAGUACACAUAUGGAUGACUUGAUUUGGUCCAGAUUAUGAAGACGUUAUAAAGGAAUGUGAAGUCCCCUUGGCUAUGAUGCACAGUGCAAGAAGUUUUCAGAAAGAAUUAAGAAUUGAAGAUUAAGAAUCCGGGCAUAGUGGCUCAUGCUUAUACUCCCAUCGACUAGACAGGUUGAGACAAGAUGAUGAAUUGAGCCCAAGUUCAAGAUCAGCCUGGACAGUGCAGGAAGACUGAACUUCACCUCUUGAAGGAACUCACAACUGGGGAAGUGGAGGUAACCCUUGUUACCCUGAAGUCUAAGGACUUUGUGCCAUCAUUGGGCGUAUAGCUUAGCCUUUGAAAGGCAAUCAGAUGGAUAUUCGUGGGAGACAAGAUUAAACAUGUUGAUUUUAAUAAAUUUGUGCAAACUA